UUUGUGUGUUUUAAUUUACCGAUUUAUUUAAUGUUAAGGACGAGUUCAGACAGGUGUAUUCAUAUUUUUUAUUGAUGCAGUUUCAGUAUAAUAUUAAAAAAAAGUUAGCAUUUUUCUAAUUUUUUAGCCUUAGUAUCAUUAAUCGUUAGUAAUGAAGGAACUAUGCUUCCUCCGAAUUGUGUCAUCGGGCCAGAACUUGAAAGUAUUUACAAAUAUACAGGAAUUAUUUUCGAUAAUUUUGUGAUAUAUGGAAAGAAAAGCAAUGAUGACACAAUCUUACGUCAUCAAAGACUUUCCUUGUCUCACACAGCAUCAGCAGUUGUCACAUACAAAUGAAUCCUUCUCUCCUGUAAACUUCAGUCGUAAUAACGGAAUAGUCUUAUUACUGUUUACCCGAACUAAAUAUAUAUUUAUUAUUAACGUAAUUAUUUAAAUAUUAGGCUAAAUGUCGGUCAACACAAUGGUAAAGGUAACUGCAGAUUGACAAAAGUUUCCCUGUCGUGCCAUUUCCCGUCGAUUACUAAAUUUAAGCAACAUUAUAUUAUUAUAAAAAUAUAUCAUUUUACUUUAUAUUUAUUGGUGUGUACAAAUAAUACCCUACGACAUUACGUUAAUAAACUGUUUGUCUUAUUACAAAGACAUAGCUGCUAUACUUUUUAAUGUUAUUGUAUUUUCAAGCAAAACUAGCUAAAGUCACGCUCUAAUAUAACAGAAACUUGAUUACUUAUGCUCAAAGGUCAUAAAAUUUUGGUUUAAAAUGUUAGAUAAUACAGUUGACGAUAAUAGUUAUUUAAUUCAUUAUCAAUAUCAAAAGUUUACGUGUACUUUCAUUCUUGACAAAUGCCACGUAAUCGUAAUUAUAUUGUUUUCUUGUGAUAUAACAGGAGAAAGGUGAAGAUAACGCUAUCGUAUGAUUGUGUUCGAUUAUUUACGUAAACGUUAAACCAAUCAAAUUCAGAAUAAAAGUCCAAUAGUAGUAAUUCUAACCUCUAAGAAGAGGCAAUCUUCGAUAAUCAACAAAGAUUGGAAAAAGUACAAGGGAAAAAUAGAGAAGAACAGAGGCGAAAGUAAUUAUCCAAUCCAGUCCUCAUCGUCAUCUUUCUUCUACACGUCCAAGCCCAAAAUGAGUGGAAUGAAGAUAAAGGAAUCAAUAUUUGAAGAAGAAAAAGAAGAGUUUCCUUGGGACGAAAGUGCCUUGAAAUCUUUCAAAAAUCUUAUCAGCGACCAACGCAUUACGUGUCUCAUGGAUGACAUUUUCCUGCUCGGAUUUCUACGUGCUACAGAAUAUGAUUUGCCAAGUUCUCUCCAGUUGCUUAAGANUUAAAAGAACGAGAGA